UACGUAGGGUGCAAGCGUUGUCCGGAAUUAUUGGGCGUAAAGAGCUCGUAGGCGGUCUGUCGCGUCGGCUGUGAAAACUCGGGGCUCAACCCUGGACCUGCAUUCGAUACGGGCAGACUAGAGUUCGGUAGGGGAGACUGGAAUUCCUGGUGUAGCGGUGAAAUGCGCAGAUAUCAGGAGGAACACCGGUGGCGAAGGCGGGUCUCUGGGCCGAUACUGACGCUGAGGAGCGAAAGCGUGGGGAGCGAACAGG
rnacentral:rRNA from 1 species